GAUGAACGCUGGCGGCGUGCCUAAUACAUGCAAGUCGAGCGAACAGACGAGGAGCUUGCUCCUCUGACGUUAGCGGCGGACGGGUGAGUAACACGUGGAUAACCUACCUAUAAGACUGGGAUAACUUCGGGAAACCGGAGCUAAUACCGGAUAAUAUAUUGAACCGCAUGGUUCAAUAGUGAAAGACGGUUUUGCUGUCACUUAUAGAUGGAUCCGCGCCGCAUUAGCUAGUUGGUAAGGUAACGGCUUACCAAGGCAACGAUGCGUAGCCGACCUGAGAGGGUGAUCGGCCACACUGGAACUGGGACACGGUCCAGACUCCUACGGGAGGCAGCAGUAGGGAAUCUUCCGCAAUGGGCGAAAGCCUGACGGAGCAACGCCGCGUGAGUGAUGAAGGUCUUCGGAUCGUAAAACUCUGUUAUUAGGGAAGAACAAAUGUGUAAGUAACUAUGCACGUCUUGACGGUACCUAACCAGAAAGCCACGGCUAACUACGUG
rnacentral:rRNA from 1 species